rnacentral:misc_RNA from 1 species
AAACGUCAUCGUUUAUCAAAUUUCAUUCAGAUUUACCCAAAAAAAUACCCAAAAAAAUGAAAGUUUUAGGGUUUCUUUAUAGAAGAUGAUGAUUAAGAGAAGAUUAAAAGUAGGGUUUAGAUGAUUUUUCAGAUAGUAGUUGUUGUACGGCGGUGUAGAUGACGAUGCGGUGGCUCAACUGUGUUUUGUGAAACCCUAGAUCCACACAGAGUGAAAGGUCAAUUUUGUACUUUCUCUCUCUUAUCUCCUUCUCUCUCUAUCUCAAUU